ensembl:snoRNA small nucleolar RNA ACA64
CCGGGCUGAAAACCGCCUCUGCUCCUUCAGUGAGCAGAGGGGAGAUACCUGGGCCUGACAGAACUCUGGUGCAUUAUGCUUAUCACACACAGUCAUUCCAGUGUGAUAAAACCCAUGUACCCACAUGU